AUGGCUUUGAGCCUAACAAGGGGUUUAGACUCCUCCGCCUGCCAGAACAGUGAUUCCACCUCUCUUGGAACAGUCAUAUCUGCUGAGAAGUUUAAGGAAGGAACCUUGAGAAAGCAUCAGAGGUGGCUUUGGAGGUGGAAUCUGAAGAAACUAGAGGAGAGAAGAAAGGAAGAAUGGAUUACAAAAGAUGAGCAAGAUGCCUGGAAUUUCACACGUACAUCAUCUCUUUGGGUCACAGAGAAAGCCAUGCUUGAUUAACACUGAGGAUUUGCGUGCGACCUAUGGCUGGUGUCCAAUGACUUCUCCCAUUUUCAGAACACUUCUGUAAUGUUGCCGUCAGUGGUGAAUAUAUGACAUCCAAGGAAAGGUGAGGCCCUGACACUAAGAGGAAUACAAUGACCAGUCCAAGAGGACAACCCAGAACUGGACUUCUGGGGCCUGACUGAACUGGAUUGAGGUAUCGGACACACUUUUACAGAGGCUAUUUAGGAGGUAGAUUUUAUGAGCCUCAUUUUGCCAAUGAUAACACUAGGGCACAGAGAGGUUCAGCAACCCGCCCAAGGCCACACAGCCAGGAAGGAGCAGGAUCUGACCCCAGGCUGCCUGACUCCGGAGCCCAUGCUUGCAAACAUUCCACUGAACCACAGGCUGCCUGACUCCGGAGCCCAUGCUUGCAAACAUUCGUAAUCCCUGCUGAAUGAUUUCAGCUCUCCUGCUGUCUUCCCCCACCUCACUGUCUCUCGAUGGACGUUCACAUUUCCCGGCUGGCCCAGAAGCUGCGAUAGGGUGUUAUGAGCUGUUAGGUUAAGAGGGGUGAAGCCCUGUGAAAAGAAAACACACUUGCUCCCCUUCCUCAGCUGCGCUGGUCUUUCCUCCAGCUGAUCUUUCUCCUGUUAUAUAAAUGGAAUGUGAUACAAAUGUUUCCACCAUGAGUUUCCUUUCAAAAGAUGAA
rnacentral:lncRNA from 1 species